rfam:Plantibacter sp. Leaf314 contig_3, whole genome shotgun sequence.
GCGAGUGACACGGGGUGCCGAUCCCAUGACGACCGGCUGAGAACACACCCGUCGAACCUGAUCUCGUUAGUCCGAGCGAAGGGAUGUCGCGAAUGAGCAUU